GAUGAACGCUAGCGGCGUGCUUAACACAUGCAAGUCGAACGAAGCACUUUACUUGAUCUUUUCGGAGUGAUUGUUUUGUGACUGAGUGGCGGACGGGUGAGUAACGCGUGGGUAACCUGCCUCACACAGGGGGAUAAAAGUAGGAAACGGCUGCUAAUACCGCAUAAGCGCACAGUACCGCAUGGUACGGUGGGAAAAACUCCGGUGGUGUGAGAUGGACCCGCGUCUGAUUAGCUAUUUGGCAGGGAACGGCAUACCAAUGCGACGAUCAGUAGCCGACCUGAGAGGGUGACCGGCCACAUUGGAACUGAGACACGGCCCAAACUCCUACGGGAGGCAGCAGUGGGGAAUAUUGCACAAUGGGGGAAACCCUGAUGCAGCGACGCCGCGUGAGCGAAGAAGUAUUUCGGUAUGUAAAGCCCUAUCAGCAGGGAAGAAGAAAUGACGGUACCUGACUAAGAAGCACCGGCUAAAUACGUGCCAGCAGCCGCAGUAAUAC
rnacentral:rRNA from 1 species